CAGGGAUAUAAAAUUUUCUUUCCAAGAAAAGAAAUGGGGAAGGAAAAGUUUGGAAAAAUCUAUUAAAGAUUUGGCUUUUUACUUGAUUAAAUUGAUGGGGGCAGCUGGUUCUAUCAUUUAAGAUUAGCUGUAAAGAGUUGACGCUAAUCAAUAUUGUACAAACUUUGAUAUUGAGCAACAAGGAUUUGUCAAGAUUUGCCCAAAAGGUUCCCAUAUGUCAAUAUAAAAAGUAGAAAAGUUUACAAAGAAGGUAGACGCCAAAGAUUGAAGAGAGAUGAAGCAAAUGACAGAAACCAAGACAGGAAAGCCAUAACAGCUGACAACUGAUAUCUGCUACAGAAGUUUGCACGGCAAUAUGGAGUUCCAACAUCAAGCAGAAGAUCUGUAACGCUUGCUGUUGAGCUCGCUGCUGCUAAUGAUAGAAGUGAUAAAACCAAAUCUCCAAUGAUAAUGGCUGACAGAAUUCUUGGUUGAUGAGGUAAACAUUUAACAAAGACAGAAUAUACAUCCACUAGCACCAGAGUUAUGCUCCAUGGAAUAACAAAACCCAUGACAGUCACCAAAUAGCUGCCACAAAAAGGGACAACCAGUAAUGAAAAUCACACAAAAUGACUUGAUAAAAAUGUGUAUCUGAAUUCUAUCAACCAAGGAAAUUUGAGAAUGGUAAAACAGAAAGAAAUUCAUAAACCAAUGGGUAUUUAUAUAGCAAAAGGAACAAGAAUACUAAAUUCACUUUAUUUGCAUCUAGAUCACAUGGAUGAUUUCAGUAGUUCUUUGGAGAAUCCAUAAUUUCAGAAAUUUGAAUGGCAAGAUAAUUGACCAGUAAUUCUUUUAAAAAAACUAGCAUUUUUUAGAAACAAUACCAGAAGGAUAAUGAUCAGCGAAUUGUAUUCACUCCUUCACAUAUACAUUGAAUGUCAACAAUUUCCAUAGAAGACCGCUACAGGUUUCACCACCAAGGACACUUAAAUUAUUAAUAUUUAUAAAAUGUUCCUAGUUCAAACACCUCAAAAUUGAUAUGAACAACAGAAGAUCUCAACCCAGUAUCCUGGGGCAAUCCACCACUAGAAAACACAGAAGGUCUAAUAGCUGAUCAGACCAUCCAUCAUCAUCAAACUAAGGAGGCUAAUUACAGGUGCCCUCUGGAAAGAUGGUCCUAACAACUAACAAAGACUAGGUCCAUGUAAAGCUGUUUGAAACGUUUACAACAUUUGGUUCCCAAUUGGGUAUAAGUUUAUAUAUAAUGUGGACAGGGACAAUUGCAACGUGUUUAAGCAACAAAUGUAAAAUGCCCCAGAUGAAAUAGUCCCUAAUUGCCAAAAUUUAGCAUUUGGCACUCACUCACAACCCAAAUGUUAUCCCCAUACCUCUCUCUCCCAGACCCUCUAAUGAGCCCAAUUCCAAGGGCACAGCUGAGAAUUAACGAGCAAUUAGGAGGAAAAUGAAAAGAAAAAUACAGCAGCAAAGAACAAAACAGCUGAUAAGAAAAAUAUUCUACAGCAUGGAAUUGCAGCAAAUACAAAAUAAAUGAUAUAAACUAAAAUGAAAAUAAAAGAAUAAAAAGAUAUGGGUAUUGAAUAAAGAUUAAAAAAAGGAUCUAUUUAAAUUGAUCAAAGUGCAGGAAAGUAAGAAUCAAAGAAUUAC
rnacentral:misc_RNA from 1 species